GAAGUCUGCUGGGUUGUUUGUCCGUUCUGAACCUGAAAUAUUGAACUAUCAUCCUGGGUUUUGGAGCUGUUUUCUGGUUGUUUGUUGUUGGUUUUUACUGCUGAACCUGCUGAUAUUACAUUGCUCUACUGACCCUCUCCCUUUCCUCUUACUUUGCUUUCUAGGUACACAACUAUGUAACCAUAUCGACUAUGAAGUAGGAAUUUGAAGAAUGAAUUGAUUG
rnacentral:lncRNA from 1 species